rnacentral:rRNA from 1 species
CCUACGGGAGGCUGCAGUUAGGAAUCUUCCACAAUGGGGGCAACCCUGAUGGAGCAACACCGCGUGCUGGAUGAAGGCCUUCGGGUCGUAAACAGCUUUUGUAUACGUAGAAUAUGACGGUAAUAUACGAAUAAGGGUCGGCUAACUACGUGCCAGCAGCCGCGGUCAUACGUAGGACCCAAGCGUUAUCCGGAGUGACUGGGCGUAAAGAGUUGCGUAGGCGGUCUUUUAAGCGAGUAGUGAAAUCUGGUGGCUCAACCAUCAACCCAUUGCUCGAACUGAGAGACUUGAGAAUGGUAGAGGUAGCUGGAAUUUCCUGUGUAGGAGUGAAAUCCGUAGAUAUAGGAAGGAACACCAAUGGCGUAGGCAGGCUACUGGACCGAUAUUGACGCUGAGGCACGAAAGCGUGGGGAGCGAACCGGAUUAGAUACCCCAGUAGU